rnacentral:rRNA from 1 species
AUUGAACGCUGGCGGCAAGCCUAACACAUGCAAGUCGAACGAGUGGCGGACGGGUGAGUAAUGUCUGGGAAACUGCCUGAUGGAGGGGGAUAACUACUGGAAACGGUAGCUAAUACCGCAUACCAUCGGAUGUGCCCAGGUGGGAUUAGCUAGUGGGUGGGGUAAAGGCCCACCAAGGCGACGAUCCGUAGCUGGUCUGAGAGGAGGAUCAGCCACACUGGAACUGAGACACGGUCCAGACUCCUACGGGAGGCAGCAGUGGGGAAUAUUGGACAAUGGGCGAAAGCCUGAGCCAGCCAUGCCGCGUGUGUGAAGAAGGCCUUCGGGUUGUAAAGCACUUUAAGCGGGGAGGCGUUACCAGCAGAAGAAGCACCGGCUAACUCCGUGCCAGCAGCCGCGGUAAUUC